AUUAUAGGCUCCUCGAAGGUGCCAAUAUCCAUCAACGCUUACAUCGAAAUUAAACCGGCCGGUUUAUGCUAAAAUCCGUUGACCCAAUCGCCGUUAUGCUAAUGUUAAGUGACAAUUCUAAAUACGAUAAUGGAAUGAUUUUUAAAUAUAAACGUAGUUUAUACCUAAAACAACAAAAAGAAAAAGUAGUUUAUACGUGGACAUGUCUUAGACCGGCUGCGUCUUGUUCAUCGAAUUG